rnacentral:tRNA from 1 species
GGAGAUAGCUCAGUUGGUAGAAUGCUUGCCUUGCAUGCACAAGGCCCUGGGUUGGAUCCCCAGUACCA